rnacentral:rRNA from 1 species
UACGGAGGAUCCGAGCGUUAUCCGGAUUUAUUGGGUUUAAAGGGUGCGCAGGCGGGAGUGCAAGUUGAAUGUUAAAUCUAUCGGCUCAAGCGAUAGCCGCGUUCAAAACUGCAUUUCUUGAGUGAAGUAGAGGUUGGCGGAAUUCCUAGUGUAGCGGUGAAAUGCGUAGAUAUUAGGAGGAACACCGAAGGCGAAGGCAGUCUUCCAAGCCGUUAUUGACGCUCAACUGCGAAGGUGUGGGUAUCAAACAGGAUUAGAUACCCCGGUAGUCCCUGA